ensembl:lncRNA
GUUGUUGGAGAUGCAGUUGAGGCGUUAUGUUAUAAAUGCAAGUUUAAGACUUUUGCUUAAUUGAGGAGCAGAGAUCCAGAGGAGUGUGAAGGCUGGGGAAGGGGUAAAGGUGCAGUUAAUUCUCUAACGGAUGCUGGCUGGGAUUCUGGGUUACUCUGCACACAGGGCAGUUCUCCAUUUGUGGUGGUGAAGGAGCUGCUGACCACAGCCAAGGCUAAAAGGGACCAGGAGUGCCUUGUCACAGGGACUAAUGGAGCGCACCGAGUCACUGCAAGACGGGCUUUUACCUCGGGAAGUCCCACGGCACCUUCUGCUGCCUGGCCCACUCUUUGCUGGCCCUGGAGACUUCUUCUUAUAAAGAAUUGAUGUAAAGUGGAGC